AACCAAUGUGGCUAUUCUGCUUCCAUUUAUGAACGCGAUUCCCUUCCUCCUACAAUCUCAGACGUGACAUAUUUCUAUUCUUCUUCUUUGCAACCUCACCGUCAUGGCCUCACUGUCUCAAAACUCCUCCGUCUUCUCAUCUCUUCUUCGCCAAAACGCCGUCGUCAACAUCUUCGUCUCAGGUCCUCUUUGGACGGUGCAGCUCAACCUCAUCAAUUCUCAUCACCAUCUCUGAAGAAAUGCCACUCUCAUCUGUAUAAAGCGAACAACGCCAGUCAUCAUCCUCAAAAAAAAAACUCUGCCACUCGCCUUUGUCUCUCACACCAUUUUCUCUUCUCCAUUCAGAUUAUCUCAACCCCAUGUCUCACCUUCGGUUUCGCUCAUCCCCUCCAUCUAACCGAACUCACGGCGAAAACGAUGAACAAAGAAAGAUGA